UGGCUACACUAGUUCUCAUAUGAUCACCAAAGUUAAGCAAUGUUGAGCCUGGUCAAUACCUAGAUGGGUGACUGCUUGGAAUGAUGAGGUGCUGUA